UAAACCGGAGAAGUGGGAUGACGUCAAGUCAGCAUGGCCUUUAUAUCCUGGGCUACACACACGCUACAAUGGGAAGGGACAAUAGGUUGCGAAGCCGCGAGGCGGAGCCAAUCCAGCAAAACUUCCCUCAGUUCAGAUUGCAGGCUGCAACUCGCCUGCAUGAAGUUGGAGUUGCUAGUAAACGCAGGUCAGCCAUACUGCGUUGAAUACGUUCCCGGGGCUU
rnacentral:rRNA from 1 species